AGUGAACGCUGGCGGUAGGCCUAACACAUGCCAGUCGAACGGCAGCACAGUAAGAGCUUGCUCUUACGGGUGGCGAGUGGCGGACGGGUGAGGAAUACAUCGGAAUCUACUUUUUCAUGGGGGAUAACGUAGGGAAACUUACGCUAAUACCGCAUACGACCUACGGGUGAAAGCAGGGGAUCUUCGGACCUUGCGCGAUUGAAUGAGCCGAUGUCGGAUUAGCUAGUUGGCGGGGUAAAGGCCCACCAAGGCGACGAUCCGUAGCUGGUCUGAGAGGAUGAUCAGCCACACUGGAACUGAGACACGGUCCAGACUCCUACGGGGGCAGCAGUGGGGAAUAUUGGACAAUGGGCGCAAGCCUGAUCCAGCCAUACCGCGUGGGUGAAGAAGGCCUUCGGGUUGUAAAGCCCUUUUGUUGGGAAAGAAAAGCAGCAGGUUAAUACCCCGCUGUUCUGACGGUACCCAAAGAAUAAGCACCGGCUAACUUCGUG
rnacentral:rRNA from 1 species